GCGCUAUUGGUGUAGAGGUAACACACGUCUGCUUUAUAUACAAUGGAAAUGAUUCGUUGGACGAUUCCGGGGUUCGAGUCCCCGAUGGCGCA